rnacentral:rRNA from 1 species
GAUGAACGCCGGCGGUGUGCCUAAUACAUGCAAGUCGUACGCACUGGCCCAACUGAUUGAUGGUGCUUGCACCUGAUUGACGAUGGAUCACCAGUGAGUGGCGGACGGGUGAGUAACACGUAGGUAACCUGCCCCGGAGCGGGGGAGUAACAUUUGGAAACAGAUGCUAAUACCGCAUAACAAUAAAAGACCGCAUGGCUUUUAUUUGAAAGAUGGCUUUGGCUAUCACUCUGGGAUGGACCUGCGGUGCAUUAGCUAGUUGGUAAGGUAACGGCUUACCAAGGCGAUGAUGCAUAGCCGAGUUGAGAGACUGAUCGGCCACAAUGGAACUGAGACACGGUCCAU